rnacentral:sRNA from 1 species
AGCAGCCGCGGUAAUUCCAGCUCCAAUAGCGUAUAUUAAAGUUGUUGCAGUUAAAAAGCUCGUAGUUGAAUUUCGGGGUUCUACCGUUGGUCGGGCUAUAGUCUGUACUGGCGCGUGGAAUUUCUACCUUCUGGGGAACUAUCAUGUUAUUAAUUUAGCGUGGUAGGAAACCAGAACCUUUACCUUGAAAAAAUUAGAGUGUUCAAAGCAGGCUUACGUCUGAAUACACUAGCAUGGAAUAAUAAAAUAGGACGGUGGUCCUGUUUUGUUGGUUUCUGAAUCACCGUAAUGAUUAAUAGGGAUAGUUGGGGGCAUUAGUAUUCAAUUGUCAGAGGUGAAAUUCUUGGAUUUAUUGAAGACUAACUUCUGCGAAAGCAUUUGCCAAGGAUGUUUUCAUUAAUCAAGAACGAAAGUUAGGGGAUCGAAGACGAUCAGAUACCGUCGUAGUCUUAACCAUAAACUAUAGCCGACUAGGAAUCGGACGAUGUUAAUUU